rnacentral:rRNA from 1 species
ACCGGCAGCUCAAGUGGUGGCCAUUAUUAUUGGGCCUAAAGCGUUCGUAGCCGGUUUGAUAAGUCUCUGGUGAAAUCCCGCAGCUUAACUGUGGGACUUGCUGGAGAUACUAUCAGACUUGAGGUCGGGAGAGGUUAGGGGUACUCCCAGGGAGGGGGUGAAAUGCUAUAAUCCUAGGAGGACCACCGACGGCGAGGGCGCCUAACUGGAUCAAACCUGACGGUGAGUAGCGAAAGCGAGUGGGUCGAUAGU